rnacentral:rRNA from 1 species
UGGGGAAUUUUGGACAAUGGGGGCAACCCUGAUCCAGCAAUGCCGCGUGUGUGAAGAAGGCCUUCGGGUUGUAAAGCACUUUUGUCCGGAAAGAAAACGUCGUGGUUAAUACCCGUGGCGGCUGACGGUACCGGAAGAAUAAGCACCGGCUAACUACGUGCCAGCAGCCGCGGUAAUACGUAGGGUGCAAGCGUUAAUCGGAAUUACUGGGCGUAAAGCGUGCGCAGGCGGUCCGCUAAGACAGAUGUGAAAUCCCCGGGCUUAACCUGGGAACUGCAUUUGUGACUGGCGGGCUAGAGUAUGGCAGAGGGGGGUAGAAUUCCACGUGUAGCAGUGAAAUGCGUAGAGAUGUGGAGGAAUACCGAUGGCGAAGGCAGCCCCUGGGCCAAUACUGACGCUCAUGCACGAAAGCGUGGGGGAGCAAACAGGAUUCAGAUACCCUGGUAGUCCACGCCCUAAACGAUGUCAACUAGUUGUCGGGUCUUCAUUGACUUGGUAACGUAGCUAACGCGUGAAGUUGACCGCCUGGGGAGUACGGUCG